rnacentral:lncRNA from 1 species
UUAUAGUAUGAUUAAUGACUUUUAUUAGUAUUUUAGUCUAUCUAUUAAUAUACGAUAAAUAUAGAUCAAUCAUGCAUAAGCAAGUGAGCUGUUUAUUUCUUAGUCACUCACUAACAAAAUAUAACUAUAUAUAGAGAGAGAGAGAGAAAAAGGGUCCGGCUGAGGUACUAUCGAUAGCACCAAAUAUUUGGUGCUGUCGAGUUUUCCACCAUUAUAUUUAAUAUUUUGAUUAUUUUCAUCCGUUAGAUUAUAAUAUUCAACCAACAACUUACUCAAUUCUAGAGGAUCCAUAUCAUUGUAGAGAAUUCAUAUCAUACUAAUCGUACAUUCAUCAUUCAACAGCAGAAAAUCUAAUAGCACCGAUAGCUUGGUGCUAUUGGUAGUAUUCCAGCCUAGUUCUAUAUAUAUAUAUAUAUAUAUAUAUAGAGUGAAUGCUUAAUUAGCAACAAUAGAAAUU